rnacentral:rRNA from 1 species
CCUACGGGCGGCAGCAGUGAGGAAUAUUGGUCAAUGGUCGGGAGACUGAACCAGCCAAGCCGCGUGAGGGAUGAAGGUACAGAGUAUCGUAAACCUCUUUUGUCAGGGAACAAAGGCGGGGACGUGUCCCCGGCUGAGUGUACCUGAAGAAAAAGCAUCGGAUAACUCCGUGCCAGCAGCCGCGGUAAUACGGAGGAUGCGAGCGUUAUCCGGAUUUAUUGGGUUUAAAGGGUGCGCAGGCGGUCUGUUAAGUCAGCGGUCAAAGCCCGGGGCUCAACCCCGGCCCGCCGUUGAAACUGGCAGUCUCGAGUUGGAGAGAAGUAUGCGGAAUGCGCGGUGUAGCGGUGAAAUGCAUAGAUAUCGCGCAGAACUCCGAUUGCGAAGGCAGCAUGCCGGCUCCACACUGACGCUGAGGCACGAAAGCGUGGGUAUCGAACAGGAUUAGAUACCCCGGUAGUC